AUUGAACGCUGGCGGCAGGCCUAACACAUGCAAGUCGAGCGAGCGGCGGAUGGGUGAGUAAUGUAUGGGGACUGCCCGAUAGAGGGGGAUAACUACUGUAAACGGUAGAUAAUACCGCAUACUAUCGGAUCACCCAUCUGUGCUUAGCUAGUAGGUGAGUUAAUGGCUCACCUAGGCGACGAUCCCUCGCUGGUCGGAGAGGAUGAUCAGACAAACUGGUACUGAGAAACGGCCCAGACUCCUACGGAGGCAGCAGUGGGUAAUAGUGCACAAGGGGAGCAAGCCUGAUACAGCGAUGCCGCGUGUAUGAAGAAGGCCCUAGGGUUGUAAAGUACUUUCAGUCGGGAGGCGGUACCGACAGAAGAAGCACCGGCUAACUCCGUGCCAGCAGCCGCGGUAAUUC
rnacentral:rRNA from 1 species